rnacentral:rRNA from 1 species
GACGAACGCUGGCGGCGUGCCUAAUACAUGCAAGUCGAACGAAGCUGUUUUAACUGGUGCUUGCACCGACUUAAACAACUGAGUGGCGAACGGGUGAGUAACACGUGGGUAACCUGCCCCAAAGCGGGGGAUAACAUUUGGAAACAGAUGCUAAUACCGCAUAACCACAGAAACCACAUGGUUUCUGUGUCAAAGAUGGUUUCGGCUAUCACUUUGGGAUGGACCCGCGGCGUAUUAGCUAGUUGGUAAGGUAAUGGCUUAUCAAGGCAAUGAUACGUAGUCGAACUGAGAGGUUGAUCGGCCACAUUGGGACUGAGACACGGCCCAAACUCCUACGGGAGGCAGCAGUAGGGAAUCUUCCAUAAUGGACGAAAGUCUGAUGGAGCAACGCCGCGUGAGUGAAGAAGGUUUUCGGAUCGUAAAACUCUGUUGUCAGAGAAGAACGUGUGCGAGAGUAACUGUUCGUGCAGUGACGGUAUCUGGCCAGAAAGCCACGGCUAACUACGUGCCAGCAGCCGCGGUAA